AUGGCGGCGAAGGUGCUCCAGCUCCGUAGCUCCGACGGCAAGGUGCUCGUCGCUCCGGCGUGGGACUAUCGCCCGGCCGCCGCCCAAGCCCUCCCGCUAGAGACGCGGGUGUCCUCGCGCGCCCUCGAGAGGGUGCUCCAGUACUGGACCAAGCACAGCCUUGCCAAGGCCACCGGUGAGUCCCGGGAGUCCCUGGCCCGCUGGGACGCCGACUUCCAGCGCCGCCUCGAGGAAGACGGCCUCGCCAAGGAGGCCGCCGCAGCCGCCCAAGAACUCCGCCGCUACGGCGUCGACCAUGGAGGGCGUCCCCAUCACCACGCCGCCACGGCCGCAUCUGAUGUCGCUGCUCCUGCCAAGGCGGCCCGUGUUGAUCCCGUCCGUGUCUGGUGUGUCAACCACGGAGAACGCAGCCAUGCGCCGGCGAUGCCCGGCUCCUUCGAUGCCUCUGAUACUGCCACCACCUUGCCGGCCGCUGCUGGUGCUGACCCCGGGGACGUCCGGUGCGCGAUCCGUGCCCGUGGGCGCCAGAUGGCUGAAGACGAGGAGUCCGCUUGCCACCACCGCAAGCGCCCGGCUUCCAAGGCUCCACUCUGCCUGCCUGCCACUGCUGCUGCGCCUGUGAAGAAGGUCUCUCGUCAGGUCGCUUCCAAGGCUUGCUCUAUCGUCGGCUCUACACCACUGCCUGCCACUGCUGCUGCGCCCAGUGUGCAACCGAAGCCGCAGAUCAGCAUGCGCGAACUGAUCGUGAACGCUCGCCUCACCAUGGCUCGCCUCGACAAGGCUCGCUCUGCCUCUGAAGAAGAGGCCAGCCGUCGGCGCGACAUCGAGCGCAGCCGAGCGGAGGCCCGGCGAAAGGUGGAGCAGAUGGCGAACACCGUGCAGUUCAACGACCCGUGGAUCCAUUACUCCGACGUGACCAAGUCCCCUGAGGAGCUGCUCCAAGCACGACAGCAAGCAUGGCGUUAUCAAGCUCACCUCCUCGAGAUGGCUCGUCGACGGGACUUUGCUCAAGCGAUGCAAAUCCACAGCACCAAGGAAGCAACCAAUUCCUUGGCUGCGUCCAGUGCUGUAAAUGAUGAUUAUUAUCAACUGGUGACGGUUGUGUUGCCUGGGACAAAAAUCCUGACAAGUGGCUUCCACUUUGGUGCCCUUGUGGAAGACUUGACAAUGACAGCAAAGGAAAUUGGAGAUUAUCUCACUGGUCAGUUUGGUAAGAAGAUUAGUCCUGGUGAGGCGUGGAGAGCAAAACAGUUUGCUCUGGAGAGGAAAUUUGGUACAUUUUAUGAUUCACACAACUUUACUCCGAGGUUACUUAAGGAUAUAGCACGUAAAAAUCCUGGUAGUUUUGUUGACAUCAAGGAUCCAGAGGUUGCAGGGUGUAAAGAUUUCCGAGUCCUCCACGGCACACCACUAUGCGGGAAAUAUCAAGGGAUGCUGCUGACUGCUGUAGCAUUAGAUGCUAAUGAUUUCUCCUUUCCAGUAGCAUGUGCUGUCGUUGCGGGCGAGACCAAGGAAAGCUGGUUGUGGUUUCUUAGGAAUUUGGAGCGAGCAGUGGUGCAUCAGUCUGCCGUGUGCAUUAUACACGACUACAAAAGGGAUUUGAUCAAUGCUAUGAAGGACCUCCUAAAUUCCCGUGAACGACAAUGGUGUAGAGCAGAAAGUCGGUGGUGCAUGGAAGACCUUGCUGAAAACUUCUUUGCGUAUUUUGGUGACAAGAAGCUUGCGAUGAUGUUCAAGAAACUUUGCCAGCAGAAGCGACGCUAUAAAUUUGGUAAAAUCUGGAAGGAGCUAGACGAGUUAACGUCCACAUAUAUGGCGGAGAAAGAAGAUGGUGCUAGUGAGGAAAUGCAGCAGGAAUCAAUCGAGCAUGAUGUGGCAGAGCUUGUGGCGCAAAGCCCAUGCAACCAGUAUGAUUCAGUGGGGAAUAUGAAGGAAGGAGAUCACGCCGAUGACAACAACAGAAAGAUAGCAAAGUUCUCUGACUGGAUCAAUCAGAAACCAAAAAAGAAGUGGUCACUGGCAUAUGACAGCGAUGGAGCAAGGUAUGGCAUCAUGGGCCGUGAUAUAGCUGAUGUAUAUAAGAACGACCAUGUAUUGAAAGGGAUAGCAUGCCUUCCGCUCAGUGCGAUAGUGGAAGUAACAUUCCUGCGCUUGGUAAAGUACUUUGAAAACACAAGUGCUGCAGCAAACAAAGCAAUCGGCAACCCAUCAAUUAACUUUCCAGAACCUGUCCAGGUUGACAUGAAUUCGAAAAUGCAGAAAUCCGAGACGCACAGACUUAUGUACACGUACGCCAAUGAAAAAAAUUAUCUCGGUAAGGUUAUGGAUCGAAAAUUUACAGUUAAGGGAAGGAAGAGGGAGGUGACUGUUCACCUGAAGACGGACUAUACCCUCAGGCCUCAGCAUGAAUAA
rnacentral:rRNA from 1 species